rnacentral:rRNA from 1 species
GAUGAACGCUGGCGGCGUGCCUAAUACAUGCAAGUCGAGCGAACAGACGAGGAGCUUGCUCCUCUGACGAUAGCGGCGGACGGGUGAGUAACACGUGGGUAACCUACCUAUAAGACUGGGAUAACUUCGGGAAACCGGUGCUAAUACCGGAUAAUAUAUUGAACCGUAUGGUUCAAUAGUGAAAGACGGUUUUGCUUUACCUAAUAGAUGGAUCCGGGCUUCUUUAGCAAGUUGGUAAGGUAACGGCUUACCAAGGCAAGGAUGCGUAGCCGACCUGAGAGGGUGACCGGCCACACUGGAACUGGGCAACGGUCCAGACUCCUACGGGAGGCAGCAGUAGGGAAUCUUCCGCAAUGGGCGAAAGCCUGACGGAGCAACGCCGCGUGAGUGAUGAAGGUCUUCGGAUCGUAAACCUCUGUUAUUAGGGAAGAACAAAUGUGUAAGUAACUAUGCACGUCUUGACGGUACCUAAUCAGAAAGCCACGGCUAACUACGUG